rnacentral:lncRNA from 1 species
CCCAAGGGACAGGAGGUUGCUCAACACAGAGCUGUCACAGCUAGAGGAGAGCUAAAGGCCACACGGGCAGACACCCCCAGGGUCAUGGAAAGUAGGAAGUGAAGGACCCUGUGCAGAAUUCAUGCUUCAAUCAAGAUAGAAUCUUCAAACACAGUGUGAGGGAGAACAGGACUUGCCUGAAACUUUCCCGAAACUUCUUUCUUGUGAUGGAAGAAACAUGGAAGGACAAAGGUCAUCCACUUGAAAAGGUUUUCCACGGGUAACCAUGACCAAGAACUAGCUCUAUGCCAGGCCGAAACUGUCAGUGUGGCAUGCUUUCUCUUUUCUCAUCCUUACAGUAGCCCUCAGAGGUUGAUGCUAUUAUUAUCCCUGGAACAGGAUCAGUGAGAUAGUCAUUUGUGUUUGGCUCUCCCUGAAUUUCACAACCCUCACCCUCUGCCUCCGGGGAGGUUUGUGUUGCUGAAGUAGAAAGCAGAAGCCGUCCUCAUAUACCUGCCCUUCUGGCUUUUUCAGAAGUAUGAAUUGCUCAAGGGGAAAAGGGUGGUGAUUGAGAGGGACAAAGAGGAUCCUGGGCCAUAGAAAGGGGUAGAGGGAGAUUCCUGAGGCUGGUGGCUUCCUCAAGUAGGUA